AAACGGUGGGCGCUAGUUGUGCGAACCUUCCACGGUUUGUGCGACGCAGCUAACGCAUUAAGCGCCCCGCCUGGGGAGUACGAUCGCAAGAUUAAAACUCAAAGGAAUUGACGGGGCCCCGCACAAGCAGCGGAGCAUGCGGCUUAAUUCGACGCAACGCGAAGAACCUUACCAAGGCUUGACAUAUACAGGAAUAUGGCAGAGAUGUCAUAGCCGCAAGGUCUGUAUACAGGUGGUGCAUGGUUGUCGUCAGCUCGUGUCGUGAGAUGUUGGGUUAAGUCCCGCAACGAGCGCAACCCUCGUUCUGUGUUGCCAGCAUUAAGUUGGGGACUCACAGGAGACUGCCGGGGUUAACUCGGAGGAAGGUGGGGAUGACGUCAAAUCAUCAUGCCCCUUAUGUCUUGGGCUGCACGCAUGCUACAAUGGCUGGUACAAACGGCUGCGAUACCGCAAGGUGGAGCGAAUCCGAUAAAGCCAGUCUCAGUUCGGAUUGGGGUCUGCAACUCGACCCCAUGAAGUCGGAGUUGCUAGUAAUCGUAGAUCAGCAACGCUACGGUGAUACGUUCCCGGGGCUUGUACACACCGCCCGUCACAUCACGAAAGUCGGUAACACCCAAA
rnacentral:rRNA from 1 species